rnacentral:rRNA from 1 species
GACGAACGCUGGCGGCGUGCCUAAUACAUGCAAGUCGAACGCUGAAGGAGGAGCUUGCUUCUCUGGAUGAGUUGCGAACGGGUGAGUAACGCGUAGGUAACCUGCCUGGUAGCGGGGGAUAACUAUUGGAAACGAUAGCUAAUACCGCAUAAGAGUAGAUGUCGCAUGACAUUUGCUUAAAAGGUGCAAUUGCAUCACUACCAGAUGGACCUGCGUUGUAUUAGCUAGUUGGUGAGGUAACGGCUCACCAAGGCAACGAUACAUAGCCGACCUGAGAGGGUGAUCGGCCACCCUGGGACUGAGACACGGCCCAGACUCCUACGGGAGGCGGCAGUAGGGAAUCUUCGGCAAUGGACGGAAGUCUGACCGAGCAACGCCGCGUGAGUGAAGAAGGUUUUCGGAUCGUAAAGCUCUGUUGUAAGAGAAGAACGAGUGUGAGAGUGGAAAGUUCACACUGUGACGGUAUCUUACCAGAAAGGGACGGCUAACUACGUG